rnacentral:tRNA from 1 species
GGCCCCAUCGUCUAAUGGAUAGGACAUCACUCUUUCAAGGUGAAGGCACGGGUUCGACUCCCGUUGGGGCCACUA